rnacentral:rRNA from 1 species
GACGAACGCUGGCGGCGUGCUUAACACAUGCAAGUCGAACGGAAAGGCCCUGCUUUUGUGGGGUGCUCGAGUGGCGAACGGGUGAGUAACACGUGAGUAACCUGCCCUUGACUUUGGGAUAACUUCAGGAAACUGGGGCUAAUACCGGAUAGGAGCUCCUGCUGCAUGGUGGGGGUUGGAAAGUUUCGGCGGUUGGGGAUGGACUCGCGGCUUAUCAGCUUGUUGGUGGGGGAGUGGCUUACCAAGGCUUUGACGGGUAGCCGGCCUGAGAGGGGGACCGGUCCCACUGGAUGUGGGAAACGGUCCAGACUCCUACGGGAGGCAGCAGUGGGGCAUAUUGGACCAUGGGCGAAAGCCUGAUCCAGCCAUGCCGCGUGUGUGAAGAAGGUCUUCGGAUUGUAAAGCACUUUAAGUUGGGAGGAAGGGCAGUAAGUUAAUACCUUGCUGUUUUGACGUUACCAACAGAAUAAGCACCGGCUAACUUCGUG